rnacentral:rRNA from 1 species
UACAGAGGGUGCGAGCGUUAAUCGGAAUUACUGGGCGUAAAGCGCACGUAGGUGGCUUGGCAAGUCGGGUGUGAAAUCCCCGGGCUCAACCUGGGAACUGCAUUCGAGACUGCCUUGCUAGAGUAUGGGAGAGGGAAGUGGAAUUUCCGGUGUAGCGGUGGAAUGCGUAGAUAUCGGAAGGAACAUCAGUGGCGAAGGCGACUUUCUGGACAAAUACUGACACUGAGGCACGAAAGCAUGGGGAGCAAACAGG